AGUGAACGCUGGCGGUAGGCCUAACACAUGCAAGUCGAACGGCAGCACAGUAAGAGCUUGCUCUUACGGGUGGCGAGUGGCGGACGGGUGAGGAAUACAUCGGAAUCUACUUUUUCGUGGGGGAUAACGUAGGGAAACUUACGCUAAUACCGCAUACGACCUACGGGUGAAAGCAGGGGAUCUUCGGACCUUGCGCGAUUGAAUGAGCCGAUGUCGGAUUAGCUAGUUGGCGGGGUAAAGGCCCACCAAGGCGACGAUCCGUAGCUGGUCUGAGAGGAUGAUCAGCCACCAUGGAACUGAGACACGGUCCAGACUCCUACGGGAGGCAGCAGUGGGGAAUAUUGGACAAUGGGCGCAAGCCUGAUCCAGCCAUACCGCGUGGGUGAAGAAGGCCUUCGGGUUGUAAAGCCCUUUUGUUGGGAAAGAAAAGCAGCAGGUUAAUACCCCGCUGUUCUGACGGUACCCAAAGAAUAAGCACCGGCUAACUUCGU
rnacentral:rRNA from 1 species